AUGAACGCUGGCUACAGGCUUAACACAUGCAAGUCGAGGGGAAACGACGGGGAAGCUUGCUUCCCCGGGCGUCGACCGGCGCACGGGUGAGUAACGCGUAUCCAACCUGCCUCUGACUGAGGGAUAACCCGUCGAAAGUCGGCCUAAUACCUCAUGGCAUCGUCUGCGGGCAUCCAACGACGAUUAAAGAUUUCAUCGGUCAGGGAUGGGGAUGCGUCUGAUUAGCUUGUUGGCGGGGUAACGGCCCACCAAGGCUACGAUCAGUAGGGGUUCUGAGAGGAAGGUCCCCCACAUUGGAACUGAGACACGGUCCAAACUCCUACGGGAGGCAGCAGUGAGGAAUAUUGGUCAAUGGGCGGGAGCCUGAACCAGCCAAGUAGCGUGCAGGAGGACGGCCCUAUGGGUUGUAAACUGCUUUUAUGCGGGGAUAAAGUGAGGGACGUGUCCUUCAUUGCAGGUACCGCAUGAAUAAGGACCGGCUAAUUCCGUG
rnacentral:rRNA from 1 species